UCUUAAAUAAAUAAAGGUAGUAAUACAAAAUAAAACCCAUAAAACUUGAUAGUUAUAACACACUAAAGAGGUUUGUUUCAUAAUCGAUAACCCGCGAUAAUUUUCACCUUUUUUAAAAAUUCAUAUACCGCCGUUAUUAUAAGAAACAAUAAAAACUAUAUUUCAUAAUAAAAUAAAUUAAAAAGUCAGGUCAAGGUGUGAUCAAUAAAAAGAGAAGAAAUUAACCAUAAAUAAAUUACAUUUAAAAUAUAUAAAUUUAACAUAUUUAUAAAAAAUAAUUUAGAAGUAAAUAUAAACUAAUAUUUUAUAUAUAAAAAUAAUAUUAUAAUAU
rnacentral:rRNA from 1 species